rnacentral:tRNA from 5 species
GCCGGUGUAGCUCAGCUGGUAGAGCAGCUGACUUGUAAUCAGCAGGUCGUCCGUUCGAGUCGGAUCACCGGCUCCA